rnacentral:rRNA from 1 species
AGUCGCCGCGGUAAUACAGAGGGUGCAAGCGUUAAUCGGAAUUACUGGGCGUAAAGCGCGCGUAGGUGGUUCGCCAAGUUGGAUGUGAAAUCCCCGGGUUCAACCUGGGAACUGCAUCCAAAACUGGCGAGCUAGAGUAUGGUAGAGGGUGGUGGAAUUUCCUGUGUAGCGGUGAAAUGCGUAGAUAUAGGAAGGAACAUCAGUGGCGAAGGCGACCACCUGGACUGAUACUGACACUGAGGUGCGAAAGCGUGGGGAGCAAACAGGAUUAGAUACCCCAGUAGUCCCUGUCUCUUAUACC